ensembl:lncRNA
GCGCCUCACCAUGGGCAGCUACAAAAAUCCCUGCAAAGUGGUCCCUGCUGGCAAAAAGAACCCUCAAGACAAAACCCAAGGUUUUGUAUUGAAUUUAACCCUGCCAGAACGCUGCAUGCAUUGAAAGAAAACUUGCUGGGUCAGUGUGACUGUUCCGGUCGGCUCUCCUUGUCCUCAUUCGAAAGCCCUGCACAGCCCCAGCCCCGCCAGCUCCCCACAGCCAACCCCAGCAGCUUCACCAUGAGAUCAGCCACACAGACCAAAAUUAACGAAGCUCCCGAUUGCUGAUAACGCAUUUAGAGGCGCUUCUCUAGCUGCAAUUUCACGUACAGAGACGUCUGGGACAGCACUUAUAACUUUGGGCAUUCAGCUGCUGCUAAGGAAUCAUAGAAUACCCCAAGCUGGAAGGACCCGUAAGGAUCAUUGAGUCCAACUCCUGGCUGCAUACAGAACCACCCCAAAAUCAUGUAACUGAUGUUCAAGAGCUUUCAGAAACCCAACUAUGGCCACAUCCACCUUCAGGUGUCUCCAUUCCCUUCACCAGAAUGAUUCCUGAGCCAACUUUUCAGCAACACCUGAGAUAUUUCGGGAUAUAGAUUGUGAGUCCUGAAUCCUGCAAUUGAUACCAAUGGGAAAGCCACCACCAGAGGCCAGAAGCCCAGAGGGCAUCCCUAGGUGCCAACCUUGCUCUUGGGCUUCUCUUACCCAUAGCAGCAGAGCCCAAAUUCAUACUGAACGGGAGCACAGGAGCCAUGCAGACACAUUGUUCUGAACACUUGGUCAGUUCUACAGAAGCUCCUCUCUAUCCAGGCUCCUCCAAAGCCACAGCACUCUUGUGGUUUUAAGCGCUGUGAUUUUUUUCUGCUCUCAAAAUAAUUAGCACAUCAUCAGUUGUAAAUGAGCCUCAUCUCGAGUGAAAGAAUGGAGUUAUGUGGGUUAUUUUUAAAUGGCACAACAAUAUAUGCUAGAGCAAAAAAGAAAAGCGUAAAUUAUUUACACUAUUUACACCAUUCCGCUGAACAGAAUCUUCAAAAACAUGCUUUUAAAAAAUGGCAUUAUUAAUGGAAAGGGGUUUGAAGAGUGUUUUUUGAAGUUUCCUGCGAGCUGCUUUAGGACUGAAAAUGACCUCAAAACGCACUCUGGAGCCAUUCUCUCUUUUUGCUGAGAGUGGGGCUGGGAGCAGGGCUGGCACCUCCUGACAGCCCCCAAUGAACAUGGGGUUGGGGCACUCACACCGUGGCAAUGGGGGAUCGGCCAUCUGGCCCUCAACAUGUGGCCCAGCCUCAGCCUGGGACUGACUCCCAGAAGGACCCCUGUGAGCUCCCCACACAUGAGGGAUGAUGCUCUACGUGUGACCCACACAAGCCUGGCGCUAGAGGGUGACAAUCCCGUGGGCUGGGGAUUGCGCUUCACCUACAGCUUCAGCCCCAAUGCAGGGGCUGCAGCAUGAGGUGCUUUGAGCAAAACCCUCCUUGCAAACCCCAAAGCUGGGCCGCAGAGCGGGGCUGUGUGUCCCUGGAUGCGCUCCCCUCUAAGGGCCGGGCUCCGCGGCAUUGCCUGACCCUUUGUCUCGGCGGUGUCUCUGUUGGUGACAGAUGGUGAUGCUGUCCUGGUGAAUUUGUUACCUUCUUGAUGACAUGCAAUAUGUCUGCAUCCUGACAGUGAGAGGAGAGACUCCAGCUGUCCCUCCAGUAAUUGACAGCAAGGAGCUGUUUUCACUUUUGACAGAGCUAAGAAGCAUUAGCAUCAUAUUGGCGGUGAGGAGGGGUUUUAUUAUUAUGUUUAUCAUCUGAGGAAGGGCAUUGUGAUGUGGGACUUGGAGGGAUUUUUACAACUUCUGCCCCCACCUGGUCCUCCCAUUGCAAAUUGCUGAAAAGGAAAACACAGCCCAAGCCUCAGCCCAGCUCCUCUCCCACCGAUCCCGUGGCAGAACCCCACCUCUCUUCUCCAGGAGCAGAGAGGGGAAGUAGGAAAGGAAGGGUAAUUUUAGGGUAAUGAAAGUGUCCCAAUGUGGUCACCAGGGUUUGUCAGACAGAGAUGCUGCCCCAGUCCUUGGGCCCUCAGCUCACUGCUCGCGUUCAGUUUGGAUCAGAUCCACCUGCAGCUUGGAAGAUAGAAGGAAAAUAUUGUGGUUUCCCAGGGUUUAGGCUCUAUGGGAUGAUUGAUGUCCCGCGUGCUUCUCUCCCGCUCCUCCUCCUGCGCACGCACCCCUCACCAGCAAUAAAGGGCUCCGUGCCCAUACCCUCCUGCACUCCACAGCAGUGCUCACUCUAUAAUAAGUCCUUAAUAAGAUUGGGGGAGCAAAAUCAACUCCGAGCCCAUAAGUCACAAAGACAUCCACACAACAACUAUUCCUCCCUCAAUUAGAUUCGAGCUGACCUAAAACAAAGGUUGGGUCUCAUUGAAGAUCUGACAAUAGCAAAGCUGCCAAGACAGCAGCCGCUUCCCAGGGAGCAGUGCGUUUCCCAUUACCCUACAAGCUGCAGUUCCUACAAGGAAACCACGCACAGCUGGAAUGAUAGCAGAGGAAAUAAGCCAUUGCCAUGGUAUUCACUGAGGUUUUUUAACAUAUUAUUGUCCUCCCUGUGCCACCCAUCCGCGGAGGUAAGGGCUGCCCGUGCUCUUGGGCCACCUCAUGUCUGCCCAGUCUCUGUAGGGAUGCUGAUCCCAUCCCAUAGGAAAUAUUUGAAUUCCACUGUUUUCAGUGCAUAUGAGGUUUCUGGAACUUCCCAUGAUUUUUUAAGUCCCCAGAGAGACUUCUAUGGAUUUCAAAAGAAAAAUAAUGUGAACCAAUAUAAUACAUGUGUUCUGCUUGUUGCGCAAGAAGUCCUUCAAAGUCGAUUCAAUUGUAAUUCUUUGCUUUAAAGAAACCUUUUCAACUCUC